UAAGUUAGAAAGGGCGCACGGUGGAUGCCUUGACACUAGGAGUCGAUGAAGGACGGGACUAACGCCGAUAUGCUUCGGGGAGCUGUAAGUAAGCUUUGAUCCGAAGAUUUCCGAAUGGGGAAACCCACCAUACGUAAUGGUAUGGUAUCCUUAUCUGAAUACAUAGGGUAAGGAAGACAGACCCAGGGAACUGAAACAUCUAAGUACCUGGAGGAAGAGAAAGCAAAUGCGAUUUCCUGAGUAGCGGCGAGCGAAACGGAACAUAGCCCAAACCAAGAGGCUUGCCUCUUGGGGUUGUAGGACAUUCUAUACGGAGUUACAAAGGAACGAGGUAGACGAAGCGACCUGGAAAGGUCCGUCGUAGAGGGUAACAACCCCGUAGUCGAAACUUCGUUCUCUCUUGAAUGUAUCCUGAGUACGGCGGAACACGUGAAAUUCCGUCGGAAUCUGGGAGGACCAUCUCCCAAGGCUAAAUACUCCCUAGUGAUCGAUAGUGAACCAGUACCGUGAGGGAAAGGUGAAAAGCACCCCGGAAGGGGAGUGAAAGAGAUCCUGAAACCGUGUGCCUACAAAUAGUCAGAGCCCGUUAAUGGGUGAUGGCGUGCCUUUUGUAGAAUGAACCGGCGAGUUACGAUCCCGUGCGAGGUUAAGCUGAAGAGGCGGAGCCGCAGCGAAAGCGAGUCUGAAUAGGGCGUUUAGUACGUGGUCGUAGACCCGAAACCAGGUGAUCUACCCAUGUCCAGGGUGAAGUUCAGGUAACACUGAAUGGAGGCCCGAACCCACGCACGUUGAAAAGUGCGGGGAUGAGGUGUGGGUAGCGGAGAAAUUCCAAUCGAACCUGGAGAUAGCUGGUUCUCCCCGAAAUAGCUUUAGGGCUAGCCUUAAGUGUAAGAGUCUUGGAGGUAGAGCACUGAUUGGACUAGGGGUCCUCAUCGGAUUACCGAAUUCAGUCAAACUCCGAAUGCCAAUGACUUAUCCUUAGGAGUCAGACUGCGAGUGAUAAGAUCCGUAGUCAAAGGGAAACAGCCCAGACCGCCAGCUAAGGUCCCAAAGUGUGUAUUAAGUGGAAAGGAUGUGGAGUUGCUUAGACAACUAGGAUGUUGGCUUAGAAGCAGCCACCAUUUAAAGAGUGCGUAAUAGCUCACUAGUCGAGUGACUCUGCGCCGAAAAUGUACCGGGGCUAAAUACACCACCGAAGCUGCGGAUUGAUACCAAUGGUAUCAGUGGUAGGGGAGCGUUCUAAGGACAGUGAAGUCAGACCGGAAGGACUGGUGGAGUGCUUAGAAGUGAGAAUGCCGGUAUGAGUAGCGAAAGACGGGUGAGAAUCCCGUCCACCGAAUGCCUAAGGUUUCCUGAGGAAGGCUCGUCCGCUCAGGGUUAGUCAGGACCUAAGCCGAGGCCGACAGGCGUAGGCGAUGGACAACAGGUUGAUAUUCCUGUACCACCUCUUUAUCGUUUGAGCAAUGGAGGGACGCAGAAGGAUAGAAGAAGCGUGCGAUUGGUUGUGCACGUCCAAGCAGUUAGGCUGAUAAGUAGGCAAAUCCGCUUAUCGUGAAGGCUGAGCUGUGAUGGGGAAGCUCCUUAUGGAGCGAAGUCUUUGAUUCCCCGCUGCCAAGAAAAGCUUCUAGCGAGAUAAAAGGUGCCUGUACCGCAAACCGACACAGGUAGGCGAGGAGAGAAUCCUAAGGUGUGCGAGAGAACUCUGGUUAAGGAACUCGGCAAAAUGACCCCGUAACUUCGGGAGAAGGGGUGCUUUCUUAACGGAAAGCCGCAGUGAAUAGGCCCAAGCGACUGUUUAGCAAAAACACAGCUCUCUGCGAAGCCGUAAGGCGAAGUAUAGGGGGUGACACCUGCCCGGUGCUGGAAGGUUAAGGAGAGGGGUUAGCGUAAGCGAAGCUCUGAACUGAAGCCCCAGUAAACGGCGGCCGUAACUAUAACGGUCCUAAGGUAGCGAAAUUCCUUGUCGGGUAAGUUCCGACCCGCACGAAAGGUGUAACGAUUUGGGCACUGUCUCAACCAGAGACUCGGUGAAAUUAUAGUACCUGUGAAGAUGCAGGUUACCCGCGACAGGACGGAAAGACCCCGUGGAGCUUUACUGUAGCCUGAUAUUGAAUUUUGGUACAGUUUGUACAGGAUAGGCGGGAGCCUUUGAAACCGGAGCGCUAGCUUCGGUGGAGGCGCUGGUGGGAUACCGCCCUGACUGUAUUGAAAUUCUAACCUACGGGUCUUAUCGACCCGGGAGACAGUGUCAGGUGGGCAGUUUGACUGGGGCGGUCGCCUCCUAAAGUGUAACGGAGGCGCCCAAAGGUUCCCUCAGAAUGGUUGGAAAUCAUUCGUAGAGUGCAAAGGCAUAAGGGAGCUUGACUGCGAGACCUACAAGUCGAGCAGGGACGAAAGUCGGGCUUAGUGAUCCGGUGGUUCCGCAUGGAAGGGCCAUCGCUCAACGGAUAAAAGCUACCCCGGGGAUAACAGGCUUAUCUCCCCCAAGAGUCCACAUCGACGGGGAGGUUUGGCACCUCGAUGUCGGCUCAUCGCAUCCUGGGGCUGUAGUCGGUCCCAAGGGUUGGGCUGUUCGCCCAUUAAAGCGGUACGCGAGCUGGGUUCAGAACGUCGUGAGACAGUUCGGUCCCUAUCCGUCGUGGGCGUAGGAAAUUUGAGAGGAGCUGUCCUUAGUACGAGAGGACCGGGAUGGACGCACCGCUGGUGUACCAGUUGUUCUGCCAAGGGCAUAGCUGGGUAGCUAUGUGCGGAAGGGAUAAGUGCUGAAAGCAUCUAAGCAUGAAGCCCCCCUCAAGAUGAGAUUUCCCAUAGCGUAAGCUAGUAAGAUCCCUGAAAGAUGAUCAGGUUGAUAGGUUCGAGGUGGAAGCAUGGUGACAUGUGGAGCUGACGAAUACUAAUAGAUCGAGGACUUAACCA
rnacentral:rRNA from 1 species